GGAGGGGCCAUUCAUAGUGAGGUUCUUUCCUAGGGCUGGAUCUAAGGCUUCUUUUGGGAAUUGCAGUCCCUGCUGUCCUGGUGCUGGCUGUGGUGCUUUAUCUGCUGGGAAAGAAAGCAAGGAAACGUGUCCAGGUCUCUGAUCAGUCUGACAGCCUUCCGGUUGCUUCUCUACCAAGAGAUCAAAGGGAACUCAUCCAGCAUGACACUAGCAAUGCUCCUGAAGACCAGAUUCAAUACAUCUCAGUGAAUUGGCAGAGGAAAGCCAGGGUAAGUCUCAGCUUUUAUUAGUGACAAAGUGACGUGAGAACAUAUGCGAUUGGUUUUCCUGUUCCCGCUCAGCAGGGACCUGUGAUCUGGGAAUGUGGAUUCACUCAGGGUGCCCAGGCUUCAGGUUGUAUCUGUUACCCUGGUCUCCCAGCUGCUGCCCCAGAGCUCCGCCCAGGAGCAGGCAGCUGCCUCCCACCACUGCUGUUAGCCUGGC